rnacentral:miRNA from 1 species
GUGAGGGACUGGGAUUUGUGG